rnacentral:rRNA from 1 species
CGGCAACAGCCUAAAACUCAAAGGACUUGGCGGUGCUUUAUACCCUUCUAGAGGAGCCUGUUCUAUAAUCGAUAAACCCCGAUAAACCUCACCAGUCCUUGCUAAUACAGUCUAUAUACCGCCAUCUUCAGCAAACCCUAAAAAGGAAUAAAAGUAAGCACAAUUAUAAGACAUAAAAACGUUAGGUCAAGGUGUAACCUAUGGAGUGGGAAGAAAUGGGCUACAUUUUCUACCUUAAGAA